rnacentral:rRNA from 1 species
UAGGGAAUCUUCCACAAUGGACGAAAGUCUGAUGGAGCAACGCCGCGUGAGUGAAGAAGGGUUUCGGCUCGUAAAACUCUGUUGUUAAAGAAGAACAUAUCUGAGAGUAACUGUUCAGGUAUUGACGGUAUUUAACC